rnacentral:rRNA from 1 species
AGAAUCAACGCUGGCGGCGUGCCUAACACAUGCAAGUCGCACGAGAAAGGGUAGCAAUACCUGAGUAAAGUGGCGCACGGGUGAGUAACACGUGACUAAUCUACCCUCGAGUGGGGAAUAAACUGAGAGAAAUCUCAGCUAAUACCGCAUAACACUUACGAGUCAAAGCAGAAAUGCGCUUGGGGAGGAGGUCGCGGCCGAUUAGCUAGUUGGGCGGGUAAUGGCCCACCAAGGCGAUGAUCGGUAUCC